CCCUUAGAUGUUCUGGGCCGCACGCGCGCUACACUGACCGGUGCAACAAGCAUCCGUCCUUGGCCGACAGGCCCGGGCAAUCUUUGAACGCCGGUCGUGAUGGGGAUAGACUUUUGCAAUUUUUGGUCUUCAACGAGGAAUUCCUAGUAAACGCAAGUCAUCAACUUGCAUUGAUUACGUCCCUGCCCUUUGUACACACCGCCCGUCGCACCUACCGAUUGAAUGGUCCGGUGAAGCCUCCGGAUUGGCGCGCACCUCGGUGCCGCCGAGAAGUUGGCUAAACCUUACCAUUUAGAGGAAGGUGAANUCGUAACA
rnacentral:rRNA from 1 species